AGUGAACGCUGGCGGCAGGCCUAACACAUGCAAGUCGAACGGCAGCACAGUAAGAGCUUGCUCUUACGGGUGGCGAGUGGCGGACGGGUGAGGAAUACAUCGGAAUCUACUUUUUCGUGGGGGAUAACGUAGGGAAACUUACGCUAAUACCGCAUACGACCUACGGGUGAAAGCAGGGGAUCUUCGGACCUUGCGCGAUUGAAUGAGCCGAUGUCGGAUUAGCUAGUUGGGGGGGUAAAGGCCCACCAAGGCGACGAUCCGUAGCUGGUCUGAGAGGAUGAUCAGCCACACUGGAACUGAGACACGGUCCUGACUCCUACGGGAGGCAGCAGUGGGGAAUAUUGGACAAUGGGCGCAAGCCUGAUCCAGCCAUACCGCGUGGGUGAAGAAGGCCUUCGGGUUGUAAAGCCCUUUUGUUGGGAAAGAAAAGCAGCAGGUUAAUACCCCGCUGUUCUGACGGUACCCAAAGAAUAAGCACCGGCUAACUUCGUG
rnacentral:rRNA from 1 species